UGGGGAAUCUUGCGCAAUGGGCGAAAGCCUGACGCAGCGACGCCGCGUGGGGGAAGAAGGCCUUCGGGUUGUAAACCUCUUUCAGGUGGGACGAAGCCACUCGGGUUAAUAGCCCAGAGGGUGACGGUACCACCAGAAGAAGCCCCGGCUAACUACGUGCCAGCAGCCGCGGUAAUACGUAGGGGGCAAGCGUUGUCCGGAUUUAUUGGGCGUAAAGAGCGUGUAGGCGGCCAGGUAGGUCGGUUGUGAAAACUGGAGGCUCAACCUUCAGACGUCGACCGAAACCAUCUGGCUAGAGUCCGGAAGAGGAGAAUGGAAUUCCUGGUGUAGCGGUGAAAUGCGCAGAUAUCAGGAAGAACACCCGUGGCGAAAGCGGUUCUCUGGGACGGUACUGACACUGAGACGCGAAAGCGUGGGGAGCGAACAGGAUUAGAUACCCUGGUAGUCCACGCCGUAAACGAUGGGUGCUAGGUGUGGGGGGUGUCGACUCCCUCCGUGCCGAAGCUAACGCAUUAAGCA
rnacentral:rRNA from 1 species